UGCCUUUACAAGAGGGUUUAAAUGCCCCUAAGGGCACCAGAUCCCUUGGAAGCUAAGCAAGGUCAGCCCUGGUUAGUAUUUGGAUGGGAGACCACCAACGAAUCCCUGGUGCUGGAGGCGA
rnacentral:rRNA from 11 species